AGAGUUAAAUAGUACGUGAAAUUGUUGAAAGGGAAACGAUUGAAGUCAGUCAUGCCGGUGGGAAUCAACUUAGAGGAAACUCUGGGUGCACUUCUUCGCUUGGCAGGUCAACGUCGAUUUUGGAUGUCAUAAAAUGAUUGGGGGAAGGUAGCUCCUUCGGGAGUGUUAUAGCCCUUGGUAGAUGUGAUGUCCGGGAUCGAGGAUUGCAACGGAUACUCUUCGGGGCUAGCCGCCUGAUCUCUAAUCGGUGUUGGGUUACGGAUAGCAUGCUGACCGUGAUUUAAUUACUGGUUAAAAGGUUAGAGCGUGCAUAAAUUCGUUAAGGACAUUGACGUAAUGGCUUUAAACGA
rnacentral:misc_RNA from 1 species